rnacentral:lncRNA from 1 species
UCAAGGACAAGGAAGAAACAUGAAGAAAAGAAGAGUCUAGGAACCGCCCAAUGCCAAAAUCCAACGCUGGGCGGCCAAAUGCGAGGAGAAGCCACUGUCUGGUGCCCAAGCGGUGAAGCCGGGCGGUUUUGCGAUUAGGGGCAAACCGUCGAGCGGUACAACUCACCGCCUAGCGGUGGCACGAUUAUGGGGAAACCGCCGGGCGCCAAAAGUGCGACGCCGAGCGGUUGUCUGUUGGGCCUGGGCCUCAAUUCUGUGACGCUCCUCAACUAUAAAUAGCCCUAGUGCGACUUCAUAUAUAUUCUUUUGAUAGAAAGGGGCGGC